rnacentral:rRNA from 1 species
AACGAACGCUGGCGGCAGGCCUAACACAUGCAAGUCGAGCGCGCACUCCGGGGUGAGCGGCGGACGGGUGGGUAACGCCUGGGAACGUGCCCUUUUCUACGCAAUAGCCUCGGGAAACAGAGAGUAAUACCGUAGAGGCCCUUAGGGGGAAAGAGCUAUCGGAAAAGGGUCGGCGCUCGUUGGAUUCGGUGGUUGGUGGGGUAAUGGCCUGCCAACCGGACGAUGCAUAGCUGGUGGGUGAGGAUGAUCCACCACACUGGGACUGAGACACGGACCAGAAUCCUACGGAACGCAGCAGUAGGGAGUCUUAGACAAUGGGGGCUACUGUGAUCUAGCCAUGUCGGGUGAGUGAUGAAGGCGUUAGGGUUGUAAAGCCCUUUCAGAUGGGAAGAUAAUGACGGUACCAGCAGAAGAAGCCCCGGCUAACUCCGUG